UCCUCAUUCUUCGGUUCCAAUAGAUCCUUCUGACCCUCCACUGUGGACUCAAUUCCCUUCAUUCUUGGA
rnacentral:snoRNA from 1 species